rnacentral:tRNA from 2 species
GGGACGUUAGUAAACAAAUUACAUAGCCUUGUCAAGACUAAAUCACAGGCAAACCCCCUGUACGCCCCA